UACGAAGGGUGCAAGCGUUACUCGGAAUUACUGGGCGUAAAGCGCACGUAGGCGGAUCUUUAAGUCAGGGGUGAAAUCCUGGAGCUCAACUCCAGAACUGCCUUUGAUACUGGGGAUCUCGAGUCCGGAAGAGGUGAGUGGAACUCCGAGUGUAGAGGUGAAAUUCGUAGAUAUUCGGAAGAACACCAGUGGCGAAGGCGGCUCACUGGUCCGGUACUGACGCUGAGGUGCGAAAGCGUGGGGAGCAAACAGG
rnacentral:rRNA from 1 species